GUGCAGCUGGCCAAUAAUCAUAACGUAUUAUAAUGAAACAUACAUCAAAUGUAAUUAUAUGAUUAUGAUAUUGUUGAUCGCUUAUCUGUCUGUCCGUCUGUCUGUCAUGUCGAAGUUGGGAACAAUAAUAUUUCAUAAAACUGUGGUGAAUUAUUUUUAUCUAUUGACGUAAAAUACCUUUCGAUUUUUAUAAAUUUUAAAUUGUAUGUUUCCUGGUUGUAAGGAUUUUAUUCAUAAAAAUGAGGGAAUUUUCAUGUUUUCUGGCUUG
rnacentral:lncRNA from 1 species